AUUGAACGCUGGCGGCAGGCCUAACACAUGCAAGUCGAGCGAGCGGCGGACGGGUGAGUAAUGCCUGGGAAACUGCCUGCUGGAGGGGGAUAACUACUGGAAACGGUAGCUAAUAACCCCUACCAUCUGCUUUGCCCAGGUGGGAUAGGCUAGUAGGUUGGGUAACGGCUCACCUAGGCGACGAUCCCUAGCUGGUCGGAGAGGAUGACCGGCAAACCUGGAACGGGGACACGGUCAGAACUCCAACGGGGGGCAGCGGUGGGGAAUAUUGCACAAGGGGCGCAAGCCUGAUGCGGACAUGCCGCUGAGGGGAAGAAGGCCUUCGGGUUGUAAAGCACUUUCAGCGGGGAGGCGUUACCCGCAGAAGAAGCACCGGCUAACUCCGUGCCAGCAGCCGCGGUAAUUC
rnacentral:rRNA from 1 species